rnacentral:lncRNA from 1 species
UUGCCUUAUCCAUCGUGGACGCUUCGAGCUAGUACUACCAUUAUUCCACUGAACCGAGCUCCGUGAGUGAGAGAGAUAGAGAGUUCCAGAAAGUGAGGUCCGCCGUCUGGCGGCGUCGUGGUCGUGGCGAGCGACAGAGGGAGCAGCCGCGGCUGCCGCUGCCUGACUCCGGCGCGCCCAAGCCCCGGCCAAGGCUGGAGCAGCUGCUCUGUCAUGCCGCCGUUCCCCUCCUGGACCGACCAGAUCCCUUGGAGAAGGUGGGGAACUGCAGGGCAUGCGGCCGGCUGGGUGCAGCACUGCUUCGCCGGGAUGCCGCAAGAGGCCGUGCAGGCGGACAUCAAGACGGGAGCCCGAUGCACACUCGCCGCACAGAGGUUAGUGGUAGCUGAUAUCUUCAUCUAUCCUGUACUAGUAGCUAGCUUUCGAUGGCUUCAAACUAGUACAAGGGCUAUCCAAUUAAUUACUACUAGUAUGUUGCUAAGAUAACCGUUAAUUUGAGAUUAAACUAGCUUUCAGUGACUUCAAACUAGGCAGCGUCAUGUAGCUAUGUUCUCUGUUUUUAUCACACGACUACAAUAAUCUCUAUCAUUACAAUUGGCAAAGAAGACACAAGAAACAGACCUAUGAAAGAUGAAGUACGUGGAGCUAAGUCUCAAGGAUUAAUUUGCAUGUCAUAGAUUAAGCUCUUCCUUUGUUUCUGUUUAAUCUUGUCCCCUCCAUAUGAUGAGAGUGUUGAUAAUUUGCAGAUUCAAAACACAACAACAAACCUAUGGAUGAAGUCGCAGGAGCUCCUUCCAUGCCGAAGAACACCGUAGAUGCUGGUCCACGUGAGAGAUCAAUUCUCUAUCGAUCCUGAUCUAUUCAUGUGUGAUCCACAAUGGAGUAGAUAGAUAGGAGAAAGGAUGUUGGAGAUUUUGGCGGCAAUCUGUUGAUACGCGCGAGAAAGAAAGGCAGUUUUACUGAUUUUCUGUAAUUAGAGAGAUACAGGCUGGUUGUUUUAGUGAUGGGGCCCACCAGGCCACGUGUUGGCCGCUGGUUGGCCCUGCACGAUAGUGCGUGCAGGGAUCCCAACAGGAGAGCCCGACCCUGCAGCCGGCCUUGAUUAAUGAUUUCAUGCAUGCAUGCAAACUAAAAGACAAAACAGAUAAUGUCAGCAAAAG